rnacentral:misc_RNA from 1 species
GAUGAAGAACGUAGCGAAAUGCGAUAAGUAAUGUGAAUUGCAGAAUUCCGUGAAUCAUCGAAUCUUUGAACGCAUAUUGCGCCCUCUGGCAUUCCGGGGGGCAUGCCUGUCCGAGCGUCAUUAUUUAUCUUCAAGCACGGCUUGUGUGUUGAGCAUUCUGGUUCUUUCCAGAGGCUUGAAAUGCAGUGGCGAUGCCGAGAUUUGGGUGCCCGAGCGUAUGGGGCUUUGUCGCACGCUCUGUAGGCNCGGCCGGCGCUUGCCGAUCAACCCAAAUUUUUAUCCAGGUUGACCUCGGAUCAGGUAGGGAUACCCGCUGAACUUAAGCAUAUCAAUAAGCGGAGGA